rnacentral:rRNA from 1 species
CCCUUAGAUGUUCUGGGCCGCACGCGCGCUACACUGAUGCAUUCAACGAGUCUAAAACCUGCUCUGAUAGGGGUGGGUAAUCUUUUGAAUGUGCAUCGUGAUUGGGAUAGAUGAUUGCAAUUUUUCAUCUUCAACGAGGAAUGCCUAGUAAACGCAAGUCAUCAGCUUGCAUUGAUUACGUCCCUGCCCUUUGUACACACCGCCCGUCGCUCCUACCGAUUGAAUGAUCCGAUGAAUAUCAUGGAUUGAGGAUGCAAGUAGGUUCGCCUAUCUUCAUCUUCGAGAAGUGAAGUAAAUCUUAUCAUUUAGAGGAAGGAGAAGUCGUAACA